GCGGCAGGCUUAACACAUGCAAGUCGAACGAUGAAACUCUAGCUUGCUAGAGAUGAUUAGUGGCGGACGGGUGAGUAACAUUUAGGAAUCUGCCUAGUAGUGGGGGAUAGCUCGGGGAAACUCGAAUUAAUACCGCAUACGACCUACGGGUGAAAGGGGGCGCAAGCUCUUGCUAUUAGAUGAGCCUAAAUCAGAUUAGCUAGUUGGUGGGGUAAAGGCCCACCAAGGCGACGAUCUGUAACUGGUCUGAGAGGAUGAUCAGUCACACCGGAACUGAGACACGGUCCGGACUCCUACGGGAGGCAGCAGUGGGGAAUAUUGGACAAUGGGGGCAACCCUGAUCCAGCCAUGCCGCGUGUGUGAAGAAGGCCUUUUGGUUGUAAAGCACUUUAAGCAGGGAGGAGAGGCUAAUGGUUAAUACCCAUUAGAUUAGACGUUACCUGCAGAAUAAGCACCGGCUAACUCUGUGCCAGCAGCCGCGGUAAUACAGAGGGUGCGAGCGUUAAUCGGAAUUACUGGGCGUAAAGCGAGUGUAGGUGGCUCAUUAAGUCACAUGUGAAAUCCCCGGGCUUAACCUGGGAACUGCAUGUGAUACUGGUGGUGCUAGAAUAUGUGAGAGGGAAGUAGAAUUCCAGGUGUAGCGGUGAAAUGCGUAGAGAUCUGGAGGAAUACCGAUGGCGAAGGCAGCUUCCUGGCAUAAUAUUGACACUGAGAUUCGAAAGCGUGGGUAGCAAACAGGAUUAGAUACCCUGGUAGUCCACGCCGUAAACGAUGUCUACUAGCCGUGGGGGUCCU
rnacentral:rRNA from 1 species